GAUGAACGCUGGCGGCGUGCCUAAUACAUGCAAGUCGAGCGAACAGAUGAGGAGCUUGCUCCUCUGACGUUAGCGGCGGACGGGUGAGUAACACGUGGAUAACCUACCUAUAAGACUGGGAUAACCUCGGGAAACCGGAGCUAAUACCGGAUAAUAUAUUGAACCGCAUGGUUCAAUAGUGAAAGACGGUUUUGCUGUCACUUAUAGAUGGAUCCGCGCCGCAUUAGCUAGUUGGUAAGGUAACGGCUUACCAAGGCAACGAUGCGUAGCCGACCUGAGAGGGUGAUCGGCCACACUGGAACUGAGACACGGUCCAGACUCCUACGGGAGGCAGCAGUAGGGAAUCUUCCGCAAUGGGCGAAAGCCUGACGGAGCAACGCCGCGUGAGUGAUGAAGGUCUUCGGAUCGUAAAACUCUGUUAUUAGGGAAGAACAAAUGUGUAAGUAACUAUGCACGUCUUGACGGUACCUAAUCAGAAAGCCACGGCUAACUACG
rnacentral:rRNA from 1 species